rnacentral:rRNA from 1 species
AACGAACGCUGGCGGCAUGCCUAACACAUGCAAGUCGAAAGAGACCUUCGGGUCUAGUGGCGCACGGGUGCGUAACGCGUGGGAACCUGCCCUUAGGUUCGGAAUAACUCCCCGAAAGGGGUGCUAAUACCGGAUAAUGUCUUCGGACCAAAGAUUUAUCGCCUUUGGAUGGGCCCGCGUUGGAUUAGCUAGUUGGUAGGGUAAAAGCCUACCAAGGCGACGAUCCAUAGCUGGUCUGAGAGGAUGAUCAGCCACACUGGGACUGAGACACGGCCCAGACUCCUACGGAAGGCAGCAGUGGGGAAUAUUGGACAAUGGGCGAAAGCCUGAUCCAGCAAUGCCGCGUAAGUGAUGAAGGCCUUAGGGUUGUAAAGCUCUUUUACCCGGGAUGAUAAUGACAGUACCGGGAGAAUAAGCUCCGGCUAACUCCGUG